GCGCAUCUCCUACGGCCUCCACGACAGAGGAACCGGGGGAGGCAGGGGGAAAAGGCCGGCCCAGCAAUUCCCCUACACCCCGGUCCCACCCGUACCCUCCUGGCCUGGGUCGUCCCAGCCCACGGGGAGCGGGCGGAGUCCUGGCCCGCGAAGCCUUGUCACCUGGUGGGCGAAUCCGCCAGCGGAGACAUGUCUUUAAAGGGUUUUGGGCCGGGCGCGGUGGCUCGUGCCUGGAAUCCCAGCACUUUGGGAGGCCGAGGCGGUGGAUCACGAGGUCGGGAGUUCAAGACCAGCCUGGCCAAGAAGCUCAUACUGACUAAGGCAGCAGAACAUACAGGAGGAAGAGGAGCAGGUUUCACAGAGGGAAGACAUGAGUUCAAUUUUGGACUUCUCAGUAGUCGGUGUCCUCAGUGGUAGUACCUUCAAAAGGAAGGUGUCAAAAGUCAAAUUCUGGAGAGUUGAGUAUGAAUGGGAGAUGAAGAAAAGGAGGCAGCACUUGUAACCUGCUCUUAAUGUAUUUCUGCACUCUACACUAGCAGCCUAUUACAUAGGACACUUGGAUGUCU
rnacentral:lncRNA from 1 species